AAAAUGAUAUACAAAAAAUCCAAUUUAGUACAUACAAUCAGUCACGUAUGUAGGAAUUAUUUUGACUAUGGACCAAUCUACCACCAACAAGCUACUUUUUUGAGGCUGGGUGGUUUUAGUUAUAACAUAAAUAAUAUGAAUAGGAUUAUAAUUUUAAAUACAUAUUUAUUAUUACAUUAUAUAAUAAAUUUAUCAUUUUUUUACUCAUUAGGUAGACUUAAACUUAAACUAAAGUACACUUCUGGAGACUUGGUAGAAUGGAUUUGUCUAUGAUUCUUGGAAUCAAUUUUAUAGCACCCAGGUUAUUAGCUACAUUAAUUGCAGAUUUAAAUACUUUUUUAAAUUCUCUCUCGACAUUUGAUCUUAUCUCACUGAUGACUGAUUGUACAACUUCUACACUUUCAACAGCUAUAUUUAAACAAUAUACAUAAAAUGUUUUAAUUAAAUCUGAAAUUUCACUAAAGCCCCCCUAUAUACGCCUCCACUAAUAAUAUAAAACUUAUUUCAUCAAAUAAGCAACAAACGUUCAAAUUGACUACUGUAAUCCAAUUGAAUUUACUACUACACAGACUUUAAUUGUUUUAUUACUAGAUUUUAAUAAGUUUGUACAAAAAUAAUUUUAAAUAAAAACAUGAGAAAAAAUGCAAAAAUCUAGUCUCAUUUCUGUCGCCACCUGGAAUUGACCCAACACCCAGCCUAAUUUAACCUAAUGCCUUUUCCACUUACCUACCUACUUAAUUGCUGAAUAUUUGAAUUUUAUGACUAUAUAAGUUAUUAGGCCAAUUUGAAAAUAUUAUAUACCUAUUACAGUAAAAUUUCAAAAUUGCAAAAUUUUUGGAAAUGGGAAUUUUAACCUCCUCUGAAUAGUGGACACAAGUGAAAAAAAAUCUAUUUGGACUAAUUACAUAUUACCAAUGAUAUGUAUUGAAAACUAAAAAUUAUGCUAAUGUUAAUGUUUUGUAAUUUAUAUGAUAUUUUAUAAUUGAUUCAAAUGAGGUGAUAACAUCAAUUACAUUACAACUCAAAACAUAAAAAUGUAAUGUAUGUUGUGUGUU